rnacentral:rRNA from 1 species
ACGCUGGCGGCAGGCCUACCACAUGCAAGUCGAGCGGCAGCGGGAAAGUACCUUGCUACUUUUGCCGGCGAGCGGCGGACGGCUGAGUAAUGCCUGGGGAUCUGCCCAGUCGAGGGGGAUAACAGUUGGAAACGACUGCUAAUACCGCAUACGCCCUACGGGGGAAAGGAGGGGACCUUCGGGCCUUUCGCGAUUGGAUGAACCCAGGUGGGAUUAGCUAGUUGGUGGGGUAAUGGCUCACCAAGGCGACGAUCCCUAGCUGGUCUGAGAGGAUGAUCAGCCACACUGGAACUGAGACACGGUCCAGACUCCUACGGGAGGCAGCAGGGGGGAAUAUUGCACAAUGGGGGAAACCCUGAUGCAGCCAUGCCGCGUGUGUGAAGAAGGCCUUCGGGUUGUAAAGCACUUUCAGCGAGGAGGAAAGGUUGGCGCCUAAUACGUGUCAACUGUGACGUUACUCGCAGAAGAAGCACCGGUUAACUCCGUUGCCAGCAGCCGAGGAAAUACGGAGGGUGCAAGCGUUAAUCGGAAUUACUGGGCGUAAACCGCACGCAGGCGGUUGGAUAAAUUAUAUGUGAAAGCCCCGGGCUCAACCUGGGAAUUGCAUUUUAAAACUGUCCAGCUACAAUCUUGUAGAGGGGGGUAGAAUUCCAGGUUCCCGUGAAAUGCGUAGAAAUCUGGAGGAAUACCCGGGGCGAAGGCGGCCCCCUGGACAAAGACUGACCCUCAGGUGGGAAAGCUUGGGGAGCAAAGGAUUAAAUACCCUCGUAGUCCACGCCCAAACAAUGUCGAUUUGGAGGCUGUCUUUUUCAGCCGUCCGUUCCGGACCUAACGCCUUAAAUGGACCG